UACGUAGGGCGCAAGCGUUGUCCGGAAUUAUUGGGCGUAAAGAGCUCGUAGGUGGUUUGUCGCGUCUGCCGUGAAAGCCCGGGGCUUAACUCCGAGCCUGCAGUGGAUACGGGCAGACUAGAGGUAGGUAGGGGAGAAUGGAAUUCCCGGUGUAGCGGUGAAAUGCGCAGAUAUCGGGAGGAACACCGGUGGCGAAGGCGGUUCUCUGGGCCUUACCUGACGCUGAGGAGCGAAAGCGUGGGGAGCGAACAGG
rnacentral:rRNA from 1 species